GACUACUUCACCAUGUCGUGUCGCCAAGGUCACGUUGCUAGCCACUGAAUGUUGUCCACCUACUCCAUGGGUUCUCAAAUCUCCAAUAUCACGUUGCAAAUAGGUCUCCAUCUCACCAGUCACCUUAAGGAUGAGAUGAAUUUGUGACUCCAUCUCCACCAGAUCUUCUACAUUCGCAACACUGUCUCCAUUUGGAAUCCUCCUCUUUUUCUUCGAAAUCCUUGACCACUCCUCCACGCCUUACUUAGCUACCCAUGAUCUUCUCAUACGGCUCUAUAUUCUCCACCAAUAAAUGGCCGCUUACCCUCCACCAUAAAGGAGUAAUUGCAUUCUCACUCUCUAUGCCUUAACUCUAUUGCUUUUCUUGCUUUACUCUGUCCAGCUUUUUCACCUUGGUCUCAUCUUCACACCAGAGGGAUUUGUAGCGGCCUCACCCCAAUCAGUAAUGUUUAUUUCUUGUGCAGGUUGUUGAGAUCAUCGAGGUCAUUAUCAAGUUUAUGAGCAAUUCUAACUAUUGGUUGCUCAUUCUAGAUUUCUACCACAACAAUUUGGCAUCGUUUUUAGGAACAAUAGUUCUCAAUACUCUAUGCACUUGCGUAGCUACUUAUUGUUUAGAUUGAAAACUAGAAACCCUUUAAAUAACAAAGCACAUCCAAUAGCUAACAAUAACCAAGCUCCAGAUCUCGAAGGCAUUCAUUAUGAGAUGCAUAAAAUUGUUGAGUAGAUUAGGAUCAUGAAUGAGAUCAAUGCCCGCCUAAUACAGUACCUCGCCACAAAUAAUCGACCUCCUGCCAUUACCUAUGUUCCAGAAGAAGCUGACCAAUCCAGUCAACCAUAACUCUUUAAGUCGUCAAAGCACUAGUUAAGGGCAUUCAACCAAGAGCCGGCCGCACCAAUCACCAACCUUAAACUCUAGACAAGGAAGGAGUCAUGUAAUAUCAGAGUCUUGGUCAUCUAGUCGGACUAAGAAUAUAGAGGGCGCGGAAACUAAGAAAAGAGGAAGAUCGCCUCGCUAGGAUGAUCGAGCUCAUAGGCGCCACGAUAGGUCCACCACCCAAAAAAUUUAAAAGACCUGAAUGCUCAGAUCGAUGUCAUCAAUACCGGCGCAAACGCCCCUGUUACUGUGGACUCCUUGAUAAGGCAAACCAAGACUCUGUUCACAAAAAGAGUCAUGAAAGUCAGAGUUUUGUCCAGGUUCAAAUUACCAUCCCAGCUCAGAGUAUAUAAAGGGAAGACAGAUCCCAUAGAUCACCUGGACUCAUAUAAGAACUUGAUCAUGCUCCAAGGGUAUUUGGAUGAGGUGAUGUGUAAGGCUUUUUCAACUACUUUGAAGGGGCCGACGAGGUCAUGGUUUAGAAAAUUCUCUCCGAAAACCAUUGUUUCGUUUGGCGACCUGAGCAUGCUUUUUGUCACCAAUUUUAUGAGUUAUAGAGUUAGGAAGAAGAACGCUUGCCAUCUUUUCAAAAUUCACCAGAAAGAUGGGGAGAGCUUGAAAGAUUAUUUAAGGAUAGUUAAUUAAGUUAUCCUAGAAGUGGAAGAUCCCAGUGAUAAGGUGGUUAUCAUAGCAAUGAUGGAGGGCCUUCAUCGAAGCCCACUAUUUGAUUCCUCUCCAAAAGCAUCCCUGAAACCUUGUCGACACUCUAGAGUAAGGCUUAGAAAUAUAUUGCGGCUAAAGAAGUUGCAAAGGUAAAGCGGAUGAGGUGAGGAAAUGAUGAACACAAGAGAAAGAAACCUGAUACUUAACGAACAGACUAUAGGGGUGAGCUAAAAAUCAAGAGAUCCGAGCGAGAUGUUAGAAAACGAAUUAAUGAACGACGUCCUCGCACUCCUUUUCGCCGGUCUAAGAGUCAUAACUGAGUUGGAAAUAGAAUUCUUGGAUGUCUAUAGUGAUUCUCAGCUUGUGGUAAAUCAAGUCCAAGGAAAUUACCUCAACAAAGAUCUCCGAAUUAUGGCAUACGUGGAUGAGGUGAAGACCAUAUCAAUGAAGAUCAAACAUUUCAAGCUCCACCAAAUAUCUAGAGAGGAUAACAAGAAAUUUGAUGUACUGACUAACCUAACCUCAGCUUUUAAUUUCAUCUCAGAUAAGAGUGUUCUUCUGGAAUUCUUACCAAAUCCAAGCAUUGACGUCACUAAAACCGUAUGCCAAGCAACAACAAACCCGAUAUGGAUGCAUGAUAUCAUCACAUAUCUUAAAGAUGGGAAGGGUCGUACAAAAUUAUCAAAGUCAUUAGACCAGGGACCUAUUGGCUAGAAGACGUUGGUGGGGAAACACCCCCUCACCUUUGGAAUGUCAAGCACUUGAAGAAGUACUACCAAUAGUUAUUUUGGUCGCCAUGUUGUCAAGGUCACCUAAUUAACGUCAUUUGAGUAUUGUCAUCGCCAAACUCUAGUCCAUUAGAAUAUGGAUCCCCAAGUAGCUAUGGUUGUCAAUUUUCAUGUAAUUAUGGAACCGUCAAUUUUUCUAGCUCAGCUAUUGUCAAAUCUCCAUGCUAAUGUUAUC
rnacentral:lncRNA from 1 species